UUAAGUUCAGCGGGUAUCCCUACCUGAUCCGAGGUCAACAUGGAGAAAUUAAUCGCGAGACUGGUGCCGCCGCCGCAACGUGACAACAUUUAUGUGCCCGUGGUUUGACGUACCAUCAUUGACUUUUAGGCAUGCCCCCGAGGCAAUGCCCAACGUCAAGUUAACCAAAAAGUUUGACUUGAGGGGUGUAAUGACGCUCG
rnacentral:misc_RNA from 1 species